AUUGAACGCUGGCGGCAGGCUUAACACAUGCAAGUCGAGCGGGGUGAUGGUGCUUGCACUAUCACUUAGCGGCGGACGGGUGAGUAAUGCUUAGGAAUCUGCCUAUUAGUGGGGGACAACAUCUCGAAAGGGAUGCUAAUACCGCAUACGUCCUACGGGAGAAAGCAGGGGAUCACUUGUGACCUUGCGCUAAUAGAUGAGACUAAGUCGGAUUAGCUAGUUGGUGGGGUAAAGGCCUACCAAGGCGACGAUCUGUAGCGGGUCUGAGAGGAUGAUCCGCCACACUGGGACUGAGCCACGGCCCAGACUCCUCCGGGAGGCAGCAGUGGGGAAUAUUGGACAAUGGGGGGAACCCUGAUCCAGCCAUGCCGCGUGUGUGAAGAAGGCCUUAUGGUUGUAAAGCACUUUAAGCGAGGAGGAGGCUCUUUUGGUUAAUACCCAAGAUGAGUGGACGUUACUCGCAGAAUAAGCACCGGCUAACUCUGUGCCAGCCGCCGCCGUAA
rnacentral:rRNA from 1 species